GUGAGUUCCACAGCGAGCUUCUGCAGAUGUUCACAUCCAAUAAUCUAUCCAUAAUUGAUGAAACAGGGAGGUCAGAUGUAAUGGCUUCUACUUUUCCAGCAACAAAUAAAUGGUUAUUGACAAAACAAGCCAGUGCGGAGCAGAGAGUCGAGCGGUGAGAAGCAUAGGAUGGUACUGAGGCUGGCUGAGAGAGGAAAAUGAGGCUCUUCAUCUCAAGGAUUCUACAUGUUGAUGUGCUGUAGGAUGUAAAGGGCCAAACUGUCACACAGAAGACAGAAGGAGCAAAUGUGGAGAAGAAAUGAACAAAGGGAGGAAACAAAAAGAAAUCGACAGAGGCAAAAACUGUACCACACAAGUAAUUUGAAGCAGAUUGGAGCCAAAUUUCCUGUGGAAAUUCUGCCUGGAAUACUUGUGGAAUCAAUGCCCCAUUGAUGUCAAUAGAAGGUUCUGACCAGGAUAAUUCUUCAAGAAAAGUGGUUGCUACUGGGAACUCUUUUACUUUUCUUCUGCACAGGUGUUUGAGUAAAUCCCAAUAAAAAAGUUGAUAUGCAUAAAGACGCGUCGGAGGGAGGGCAGAAGGCAAUGGAAAACUGCAGAAAUGAACAACCACAGGAGGAAAUGAAAUCUUUCACAACAGCUGCUCCCCUUGGAUUCCCCUAGAAGGAAACUGCCUGAGGUCGGCUUUAGCACAAAAGGAUAAAGAAGAUGAAAACUGUAAUGUGAGGCUGGAAAACUACUGCUGAGACCCCUGAGUUUACAUCCCAUAAGUCUCUGGCUGUGUGGCAGGACCUUUUAGCAUGUCACAAAGGCUGGUGAUAAACAGCACAUUACCAUGAAACAAACGGUGCCUGAGCAGUAUUGUAAGAGUAAUGAUAACUAGCACUCCCGUGGGAGACGGAGCAACGUUUUCAUCUCUCUAUGCAUCUAUCGCUAAAUGGAAAUGAAAAGUGCAUACUUCUGAUCAGGACCACAGUAAUUAUAUUUGAAACAGUUCUAGCAGCUAAGAAAUAUAUACUAUUACAAUAAAAUAACAUCACUGCAUGAAUCAUACAUAGGGUUUUGCAAAUCUAGUGCUAUUUAAAAGUUGGGUUUUAGGAAAUGUUUAGGAAAAUGAGGCAUUUUAAUGUUAAUAUAACUAUUGCAUUUAGAAAUAGACUUUGGUAGUUGUGAUAGUUUUUUUUUUUUUUUUUCUUACUAUUUGGUAUGACAAGUUGCACAUGGUUGGUGAUCUUUCACAUAUGCACGUGAUAUUGAUGGAUUCAGAAAUAUAAUUUUUCAUGAGAGGGGUUAACCAUAACUACAUUUUCAGUGAAGAAUAGUUUAAUAUAUGAAUUCAUUAACUGCAAUUUAUAUAAGGAUGGGUUUAUAUGUUCAGGUUUUUAUACAAAGCCAGGAAAAAUCAUAGAUGGACAUGUAAAAAGGAAAGACUAAUGGGG